rnacentral:rRNA from 1 species
GACGAACGCUGGCGGCGUGCCUAAUACAUGCAAGUAGAACGCUGAAGACUUUAGCUUGCUAAAGUUGGAAGAGUUGCGAACGGGUGAGUAACGCGUAGGUAACCUGCCUACUAGCGGGGGAUAACUAUUGGAAACGAUAGCUAAUACCGCAUAACAGCAUUUAACCCAUGUUAGAUGCUUGAAAGGAGCAAUUGCUUCACUAGUAGAUGGACCUGCGUUGUAUUAGCUAGUUGGUGAGGUAACGGCUCACCAAGGCGACGAUACAUAGCCGACCUGAGAGGGUGAUCGGCCACACUGGGACUGAGACACGGCCCAGACUCCUACGGGAGGCAGCAGUAGGGAAUCUUCGGCAAUGGGGGCAACCCUGACCGAGCAACGCCGCGUGAGUGAAGAAGGUUUUCGGAUCGCAAAGCUCUGUUGUAAGAGAAGAGCGUGUGUGAGAGUGGAAAGUUCACACAGUGACGGUAACUUACCAGAAAGGGACGGCUAACUACGUGCCAGCAGCCGCGGUAACAC